AGAGUUUGAUCAUGGCUCAGGACGAACGCUGGCGGCGUGCUUAACACAUGCAAGUCGAACGGAAAGGCCCCUUCGGGGGUACUCGAGUGGCGAACGGGUGAGUAACACGUGGGUGAUCUGCCCUGCACUUUGGGAUAAGCCUGGGAAACUGGGUCUAAUACCGAAUAGGACCGCAUGCUUCAUGGUGUGUGGUGGAAAGCUUUUGCGGUGUGGGAUGGGCCCGCGGCCUAUCAGCUUGUUGGUGGGGUAAUGGCCUACCAAGGCGACGACGGGUAGCCGGCCUGAGAGGGUGUCCGGCCACACUGGGACUGAGAUACGGCCCAGACUCCUACGGGAGGCAGCAGUGGGGAAUAUUGCACAAUGGGCGCAAGCCUGAUGCAGCGACGCCGCGUGGGGGAUGACGGCCUUCGGGUUGUAAACCUCUUUCAGUAUCGGCGAAGCUCCAGGAUUUUUCUUGGGGUGACGGUAGGUACAGAAGGAGCACCGGCCAACUACGUGCCAGCAGCCGCGGUAAUACGUAGGGUGCGAGCGUUGUCCGGAAUUACUGGGCGUAAAGAGCUCGUAGGUGGUUUGUCACGUUGUCUGUGAAAACUCACAGCUUAACUGUGGGCGUGCGGGCGAUACGGGCAGACUGGAGUACUGUAGGAGAGACUGGAAUUCCUGGUGUAGCGGUGGAAUGCGCAGAUAUCAGGAGGAACACCGGUGGCGAAGGCGGGUCUCCGGGCAGUAACUGACGCUGAGGAGCGAAAGCGUGGGGAGCGAACAGGAUUAGAUACCCUGGUAGUCCAA
rnacentral:rRNA from 1 species